rnacentral:lncRNA from 1 species
AUCCAAUUUACUAUGUUCAUUUGUAACAGUUCUCUCUAUAUUGGUUGAAUGGGUUACAGGGGAAUUCCUACCCACAGUCUUAAAUGUUAGAUCUGGCAUACUAGAGAUUAGUUCCCCUACUUUGUCCCUUCCAUUUUGCCUUCACUGCCUCUGGAUUGACAUUACUAGAGGACACAUGGGGCUUUGUAAAAUCUCCUUUGCUGGUGAUCAAAGUGGACUAUGAGUGGUCCUGAAAAGUUAAAUCCUUUCCUACUUAGAAUUUUAGAAAAAUUCUCUUAACAUACUUCCCAAAUGAUGAGAAUACCUAUGGAAGCAUUAAAAAAAAAAAAAAAAAGUCCAAUUAUACAUACAAAUCAAUAUCCCAGAACACACACACAAAAAAAAAUAUCCCAGAACACCCAAACCAUUCAAGAAACAAGAACUUGUAUGAAACAGGUGGCAUACUCAUGCCUAUAUAUUCUAAUUCUAGAUAUUGAUAAGAUUUUCUCUGCUAACCUUAAUUUAACAGAAGCUUUGAAAAGGGUCUCAAAGGCAGGUAGAAAACCACUAAUUGGAAAAAAUCAGGUAACAAGCAUCUUAACACAAAGGUAAAACCCUAAAAGCAUGCUGAACUGUGCCACACUAAAAAGCUAUAUUCAGCCUAUUGAAAAUGUAUGCCUACCUUAAAACCUUGCAUCAGAAAUAAUUCUUUAAAAAAUUCACUCAGGCAGAAUGCUUCAUUUAAAGAGUUGACAAGUGAGGUUUUAAGUUUCCACACUGGCUGAAUACAGAAUUGUUUCAAUGGGAGAACAAAUAUGAUAGAAAAAAUUUAAAUUUGAAGUAUAAAAACGUUAUCUAAAAUGCUUGAAUGGGUUUUUGGUUAUAAAAAGAAUCCUGAACUGUGAGUAACCUUGAGUACCAGGAAACUUAAAUGACCUAAGCUCUGCUUUUUGUCAUUGGCACUGUUGUUCAGAGUACAGUGUGUCUGCUUAUAGCCAAAUGUUGCCUUAGCAACAGGUCUAGGAAGAGCUUCUAUCCAGUGUUACAGAUUAUUCCUUACCCAAUGAAAAGGUCCAUGGUCUAGUGUUAAGGUAUAAUCUGAAAUGUUAACAUUUGCUGUUACUUUAGUACAGCUGCAAUUAAUGGAAUUUCUACAGUAAUGUUUACAUUUUUCUUUACAACCUGAAAAGGGCAGGUACAAAAGUGAAACUCAACCAGGUCGAAGCAGCAUAAGCUCCAGGCAACAAUGUAAACUGGUUUAUCUACAAAAACUAUGGGAAAUAUUUUCUAAUACCAAAAAAAA